rnacentral:lncRNA from 1 species
UUGAGAUGUAUACGGCCUAUGCUAAUAGGCAAAGGUGCAGGUGUGACUAUUCUCAGAACUAAGAUAAGAUAAUCAUUUAUCAACUGCUUUCCUAUAUUAGUCAUAUCUUCUUAGCCAGUGUAAGGUGCACAAUGGUCUGACUCAGAUGUGAAAUGAUGCAACAGAACUUCUAUAAUUGGCAGGAGCAGAAGAAUGGCAUCAAGUUUUAUGUUAAGUUAUUUAAACUUACUAGCAGCUAUCCUGCUGUCAGUCACUGGAGGUUUGGCUGAAACUGUGCGAUGUCCACGGUACUGUGUUUGCUAUCUCAACACCACCAACUACAUGAGGAGUGUGUCCUGUGUGGCCAGGAGGCUAGACAACAUAGAUUUGUCUGUUCCAAGACGGGUACAAAGCUUGGAUUUGUCAAACAACUCCAUCUCUGUUCUCGAAGAUAGAGGGUUUCAAAACCUUGGACUGAUUGAAAUUGUAAGACUGGUCAUGCGACACAACUCACUUCGCACAAUUGGACUGCACAGUUUUACAGGAUUGACGUACUUGCACUCAGUUGACUUAGCGGCAAAUAACUUAUACCAGAUCCUUCCAUGGACUUUUCAUGAAAACAGUAAUUUGAAGUUUGUCAGUCUUUCUGGUAACCCGUUGGGUCAUGUUGUGUCUUCUGGACCAUUCCUUGACGUUCCAUCCUUGGAGGUAAGUAGAGCGAACUUGUGCACAACGGUAGU